UUGAAGGAGUUGUUGUGCAAGGAAGAGAAGGGCUUGGCUAAAGGAACUGCAAGAGAGUCACGUUCUGAGAAUUGGGGACACAGAGAGUACAUCAUCCAGGGAGUUUGUAGCUCGGCGGAUCGAGCACGAGUGAUUUCAGGAUUUGCUAGCUUUCAGUAUUCACGAGGUACUAGCGAGGACCGUGGGAAGGCGCCGGCGUGAUGUGUACACACUGAUUGAUGUUUUGAGAUCUUGGGAAUUCUAUGAAUUGUAUUUUGACAUAACACUUGGAAUAAUUAUGCUUUGUUUGAAUGAAAAUACUUUAUUUUUGAAAUGAAAAAUUUGUUUGAAAAUUUGCGUU